rfam:Felis catus isolate Cinnamon breed Abyssinian chromosome D4, whole genome shotgun sequence.
GCCUGGGUGGCUCAGUCAGUUAAGUGUCUGACUUCAGCUCAGGUCAUGAUCUCAAGGUUUGUGGGUUCAAGCUCCACAUCAGGCC